CAUUUGCAGCGAUUUACUUUUAUCACAAUCGCUUCAACAACCUCGGACAUUGCCAGCGAUUUAUUGCAUCAGCUCCAACUAACAACAACUCCGCGACCGAUAGACACUUGGUUACGUUGUAAACGGACAGAGCUGCAGAUACAGAUACUAUACCAACAACAACAAACAAGCAUCCUGAGCAGCUCGUAGCUACCAAAAACCCAAUUGCCCAUUCUCGUUCCUGAUUUCGAUCCCUGUAUCUAAUCAACGUGGCUAGCCUGCACUGUGCAAAAAGCUGUUAAGUGUUAUGUUCUUUU
ensembl:ncRNA lncRNA:CR45255 long non-coding RNA:CR45255